rnacentral:rRNA from 1 species
UACGAAGGGUGCAAGCGUUAAUCGGAAUUACUGGGCGUAAAGCGUGCGUAGGCGGUUUGUUAAGUCUGCUGUGAAAUCCCCGGGCUCAACCUGGGAAUGGCAGUGGAUACUGGCAAGCUAGAGUGUGUCAGAGGAUGGUGGAAUUCCCGGUGUAGCGGUGAAAUGCGUAGAGAUCGGGAGGAACAUCAGUGGCGAAGGCGGCCAUCUGGGACAACACUGACGCUGAGGCACGAAAGCGUGGGGAGAAAACAGG